UCCUCGGUCUGAACGAGAUUGUUUCAUUUGUUGUUGGGAUCCUUUUCUUCCUACAGGAAGCAAGGAAAUCUAUUUUCAGCAAUAUGGACGAUGGAAUAUUGAUCGGAUUUGGAGAGAUGAUGUCUUACCUUGUCGUGUUUAUCUUCGACACUGUGUGUUGGCAGCAAAAAAUCUUGGCGACGAGGCUUACAACAAUUUCAUGGAUCACACCUAUCUAGCCGACCGUAAAACAACAAUUCGCGAGUAUCUGGCAACAACGGGUUCUGGGAUCAUGGAAGAGGAACCUCCAGUUUCCCUCAAGCAACGCUAUGGUGGUUGAUAAUCUAAUCCAAAUUGUAGUUGUCCAUUUGCUGCAAAAAUAUGGUCUUUCUGAUGUGUUGGGUGGUGGCAGAAAGAAAGAUGUGUUCGCCGUCAUGAUGUUUAUGGUUGAUGGAACAUUCUUGGCCUAAAUAUACUUGUGAUCUUUCUUGCAUGAAUUUUUCCCUAUGUUUCUUAAAUUUGAUUGAUUACAAUUAGGUUCUUCAAAAA